AGAGUUUGAUCAUGGCUCAGAACUAACGCUGGCGGCGUGCCUAACACAUGCAAGUCGAACGAGAAAGCCGCAAGGUGAGUAAAGUGGCGGACGGGUGCAUAACACGUGGGUAAUCUACCUAUUGGCUUGGGAUAACAGUCCGAAAGGAUUGCUAAUACCGGAUAAGACCACAGCCCUGCGGGGUGGUGGGAAAAGGUGCUCGCAAGGGUGCCACCGAUAGAUGAGCCCGCGGCCUAUCAGCUUGUUGGCGGGGUAAUGGCCCACCAAGGCUACGACGGGUAACUGGUCUGAGAGGACGACCAGUCACACUGGAACUGAGACACGGUCCAGACUCCUACGGGAGGCAGCAGUGGGGAAUAUUGCGCAAUGGGCGAAAGCCUGACGCAGCAACGCCGCGUGGGUGAUGAAGGCCUUCGGGUUGUAAAGCCCUGUCGCCCGGGACGAAUAAGCCGUUUAAUAAACGGCCCUGACGGUACCGGGAGAGGAAGCACCGGCUAACUCUGUGCCAGCAGCCGCGGUAAUACAGAGGGUGCCAGCGUUGUUCGGAAUUAUUGGGCGUAAAGGGCGCGUAGGCGGCUCUGUGUGUCGGGUGUGAAAUCCCACCUCUUAAAGGUGGAAUUGCAUUCGAAACUACAGAGCUGGAGUUCCGGAGAGGAUGGUGGAAUUCCUGGUGUAGAGGUGAAAUUCGUAGAUAUCAGGAGGAACACCGGUGGCGAAGGCGGCCAUCUGGACGGAUACUGACGCUGAGGCGCGAAAGCGUGGGGAUCAAACAGGAUUAGAUACCCUAGUAGUCC
rnacentral:rRNA from 1 species